GGGCGGCUAGCUCAGCUGGGAGAGCGCUGCGUUCGCAAUGCAGAGGUCAGGAGUUCGAUCCUCCUGCCGUCCACCA
rnacentral:tRNA from 1 species